rnacentral:misc_RNA from 1 species
GAUGAAGAACGUAGCGAAAUGCGAUACGUAAUGUGAAUUGCAGAAUUCAGUGAGUCAUCGAAUCUUUGAACGCACAUUGCGCCCUGUGGUAUUCCGCAGGGCAUGCCUGUUCGAGCGUCAUUUCAACCCUCAAGCCCCGCUUGGUGUUGGGCCCCGCCCGCCGUGGCCGGCCCUAAAGACAGUGGCGGCGCCGCCUGGCCCUCAGCGUAGUACAGCUCUCGCUCCAGGGUCCGGCGGCCGCCUGCCAGAACCCCCCCAACUCUGUGGUUGACCUCGGAUCAGGUAGGGAUACCCGCUGAACUUAAGCAUAUCAAUAAGCGGAGGA